rnacentral:lncRNA from 1 species
AUCUCUUCUUUUCGGUCGAAUUCAGCAUCAGUCAACUAGGGACUUUGAGGGUGCUAUUUUCUUUUGUUUUCUUUUGAUUUUGCUUUUGAUUUUGCUUUCUUUUGAUUUCUUUUGAUUUUGCACCCUCCUCUUUCUUUUUUCUUUUUUUCUUCUUUUUGAUAAUGCCCCAGUUGGCUGUUCUGCUGAUUCUUGAGAUGCAGCUGAGUGUGUUCUUCUUUUCUUGCUCAAGAAGUCGGGAAAUCUCGUCAGGAAUCCCUUCAACAACAUCUUCGUCCGCUUCGAAUACAGGGAAUUCAAAAUUGGGAGAUGACGUCCGAUCAUUAUGUUCAAUGGGUUUAAGAAACAACCUGCAUAAUGAUUUUGAUAUGAAAAGCUUUUGAAAAUCAAACAAGACAAUCGUUAUGCAGAUGAAAAGAUUGCUUUUAUUCUUGUUUUUUAAGGUUUUUUGUGAUCACCAAUUUCAUGCAAAAAAGCAAAAAGGGAAAACAAAUGGAAAAACAAA